UCACUCAACUGGCGGUUGCAUACACCCUUCCUUACACACUGUAAAGCUUUUGUUUCAUCUCUUUAUCGACCAAAAAACCCAUUGUGUGUGCGCGAACGCUCGUGUACAUGUGUUUGUGUGUGUGUGUGCACGUGUGUGUGUGUCUGAGUGUGUGUGAGAGAGAGAGUGUGUCUGUGUUUCACCCUGACUCUCCCCAGCAGCUGCCACUAGCCCAUAUUCCACACAUUUAUCUGGGUCGGCCCAGCAGACAGAAUCUCAUGUGACAGCGAGGGCCAGGGAGAGACAGUGAGCUGGUGGGCUUGAGAACACGGCUGAGUCGGGGUGGUGGGAGCUCAGAUAAAAUAAUUAGCUGUCACAGGAGCGAUUGUCUGGGCCCAAGCCAUUUUGCACCAGAAGUAAAAUCUUCUGUAAAGAUUAAUAGCAGUCCCUCUCCCUCGUUCCCUCUCUUCUUUCUUUCUCUCUUUUUUCUCUCACCUAUUCUUUUUUCUCACUUUUUCCCACUCAAAGAACACUGAAUACUGUAAGGCAGGAUAAAAAUAAAAAGAACAGCCGACACAAAUAGCUGCUUAAUACACAGGUUGGAGAAACACGGUAACAGAACGCCUAGUGGAUGUGGAUGCAAUGCUGCCGUGGAAACAGUACCAGCAGUCAUAUCAGAUUUAGGCCCAGCCGGGCAUGCUAGCUUUUUAAUUCAAAUUCAUUUCUGCCCUCUGUUCAGGGACAGUAGUUAGUGAUUUAGAUUACUUUCAUUAGCUCAGAAAUAUGUGAUCCUAAAAGCCGAUAUUAUAACUUUGAAAAAUCAAUAUUUAUCAUAAUCUUUAUUAUAAAAUAAUAAUAAAUUAUAAUAAAUACAAUCAAAUAAAUUAAAUAAUAAAUACAAUAAAAAAUAUCCGGUUUAAGUGCUUUAAAUUGUCAAUUUUGUGCCUUAAAAAUGCAGACCAAUAUUACAUAUAAUCACACAGCAUAAAGCAUUUGUUGUUUUACGUAAUUUUACGUAACAUGAAGAGAGGGUUUAACUAAGAUCAUACGGUAGAAAUGUUUUUUAAGAUAGUUUUUUUGGGGUGCUGAGAGAUUUGACAUCUUUCCUGUACCCUAUCAUAGCACUGUUAUUGUAUUACAUCUAGGAAAUAUUUAACAUGUUACUGUAAAUCCUGAGGCUGAUUGCACAGAAAUGAACAAAACAAAGAGAAUCUUCAUCGUGACUCAUUUUUGGCGGGAAAAAAACAACUCUUCGUUGGAACUGGAUCAUUUUCCUGAAACUGAGGGACUGGGUUGUAACGUGUGAAAAGACCACAGCUUGAGUCAUAGGUCACAUCUGGGACAAGGAGCAGGCUUCAGCAGAGUGACUGCACAAAGUGAGGCUGCCACAGGAAAAUGCAGCAGGCGCAGGCAACAAUGACUUCAUUUCUCAUUGGAGAAAAAGUAACCAGGCCCACUGGUACCACAUAUCAGACUGCGCGUAGUUGUUUGUUUAUGUUUCAUGCAUAAACGAAAAGGAAACACUGCAUCUCUUUUAACUCUUAUUCUGAUAUAAUGAAAGUGGCCACACAAACAUUAUGUAUGAUUACACUGAUUACAGGGUCAAAAAUGCAAGCAUUGGGGGUGGGGGCGUGCCAUUUCUAACUGCAAGGAACACUCACUGAUUUUCUUUUUCAGAUUCUUUUCCUUACAUGCACUGCAUCUACUGGCUGUCUCAGAGGAGAUGAGCUGGUCGCCUGUGAAUGUGAGGUGAGCUCCAUUAUGCAGGUUGCUCAUCUCCGUGAGGUGGGCAGAGUUAAGACUGGUUGGCUGUCUCUGUUUGGUAAGCUGCGUUAUGAUUGGUUUAUUCUGUGAGAUUACGCUGUGCUAUAAUUGGUUGUGUGUUUCUGUGGUCACUGGGGCAUAUGACUGUACUAUGAUUGGUUGUCUGUGUCUGUGGUCACUGGGGCAAAUGGCUCAAAGCAGUUCUGGAGGGGCCCUGUGCUGCUGUCCAACCAUGACCGGUCAUUCCUGACAUUUCACCCAAACUUCAUCACCGAACACACCCCAUGACAAAAUAAACACAAUCUGUCAUGUCUGGGCUCUGGUCAGGAUCAAGACAUAAUAAAUAGAUCUUCAUCUCCUAAGCUUUCUGAAAUGGCCACCGCCCGCAGGCAGAAAGAACCACUAUCACGCUAACGCAUAUACAUGUGCGGUCACAUACACACACUCAUUCACAAGCACACACACAAACAUACACAUGUACAAACAUGUACACAUUCACACAUUCAAAAGCACAUUCACACACAUACACAAAAACAUAUACACACAGAUGAUGCACACACAAACACAGACACACGCAUGCACACUUACAUACACACACCCACACUCGGGGGGCUUUACAGAAUCAAAUUAUCUUGUGACACGCACCAGUACCACUGACCACCGACCCCCCCCCCCCCCUCACCCCCCAACCGCUCCAGCAGGUUGAAGGAGAGUGCGGAGGGAUUUCUGUGUGAUCGUAGUUUGCUUUUCCUUUCCAGAAACAGCACAAUGUGCGGCUUCAUAAUGACUUCCACGUUUCCUCUGGGGAGGCAGUCUAAACAUUCCAGCAUGGAAGCCAGUGAUGUGUUCACACGACUUUCCUGCUCCCGCUCUCUCUCCCCGCUGCACUCGGUCACCUCACUCUCGGUUUAAUCCCCCGCUCUCCUCCUUAAUCAAACGCGUCUGCAGAAACUUAGGCUCGGGAUGAGACAGGCGACACGCCAAUCUCCAGAUGUUCCGAAAAACUCUCUUUCAGCGCGUCUCCCUUUGCCCGGGCAAAAAUAUGGACUGGAGAGAUGUUCUGCAAUGUGACCUGCCGGGAUACAGUGGUGAGCAUAAACAAUGAAAGGUUCUCUUUAUGUGACUUGUCACAUGAGCAAACCCUCAGCAAAUGUGAUCACAUGUUAAGCACCUCAACUUCAGAAGUCUUCGAGGUGUGACGCAUAGCUACGUAUCAUGAUUUGGGAUCGGUUCCAUUUCAAUUCAGUCGAUUCAGGAAACAAAUUUGAAAUUCAGUUCAUGAAUUGAAUAAAGCCUAUAAUAUUCUAUGAGGACACAGCUAUUCAUUUUUUGAAUUGAGUUAAAUUGGACGUCACCCCGACCGGGUCAUGUAAAUUGGCCUAAAGAAAUUGGACCCCUCAAGCCUGACAUUACUCAGCCUGUUGGAAAAUGCAGGGCUGUCCAGCUGCUCUUUAUUUUCUACAUCCAAAUCAAGUCCAUAAAUUUGCACAGAAGGUCAGUGGUGGUCUACUACAUUCAUAACAGACCAGUAGUGAGACAGCAGGGAUUGCAUUUCAGAGACACCCUGAUGGAAAUGGAAUAUACCGCAAAUUAUUGCAAACAUAUGUUAUAAAAAAUAAAAUAAAAAAUAUCAUAAAUAGACAGUUAUAAACAUUAAAUACAUACAAUGUAAAAAACAUUAAAUAUAUAUGAUGUAAGUGGAAAGAAUUUACCCAUAUAUUGUGAAGUGUUGCAAUAUCUUGAUAAUACAUUUUUUCCCAAUAUAUUUUCUAUAUAUUCCAUUUUCAUAAGAGCGUGCAGUGCUGUACAUCAGCCACAACACUUCCCUCCGCACUAAAGCUAAUGUUCAUACUUGUGUGGAAAAUUGGCCCUGGGUCUAGACAGGCAAUAUUGGAAAGCUCACAUAACUGCCAUCUGCUCACCUCUGCCAGACAGGGCAAUAAUGGCAUUAUUUGGGAGACGGUCAUCUUUCAGGUUUAUGACUCCCCACCGUCGGCCCACGCUGCAAGGGGGCAACGGGACGUGAGUGAGCAGAGACGGGGCAGGGAUCUAAUCUAUCCAGGUUACGGCACCGUAACGUCUUGUUGCUGCAACAUCGCUACAACCUAUCCAGUCCAGCUGUUCAAAUCUACGCCACAUUUCAAAUCAGCACCACUGUGGUCCACAAGAGGAAGGCCCAUUCACCCCUACUUAGCAUUCUUUAACAGCUAUCUCGACUGCUUUGCCUCAACUGAGUGCUAAAGUGCUGAUUUGCAGAUGCUGACGGACCGAGAACUGUUUCUGGAUGAUGGGUGAGAGCGGGCAGCCAGUGGGCACGGAGUGUUUGCUGGCCGGGAAUGAACUGUGUGCUGUCUGCCUCCACACCUUCCUCUGAGUGGCAUUCACAACAUUAGCGCUUUGGCGUAGGGGCUCCUGAAGUCUCUGAGCCCAUGGCACACUUAAUUAGCCAAUAUGUUUUCUGUGACCCGCCCACCCAUUAUUAUAGUAUUAAACCUUCUUAAGUUAAAAUUUGGAAUUAGCUUCUUUUUUAGAAUACAUUUGGUAAAAUCAGUAGCAUUUACUGUACAAUACUAGCACAAAUUAUGGAAACACUGAACUAGAACUUUUAAAACCUUUCUCUGUCCCUUUCCUUCUGUUGUUCUUCUUGGAGCCAUUUUCAUCGGUAAAAAUAUAUUUGAAACAGUUCUUCAGUGGUAACAUUACGUGACCAUUAGUAAUUUGUACAAACUGAUUAUAAAAUUUCCAACAUAAGAUAUAUUAGACAGCUGAAUUAUGUAGGUGUGAACUAAUAAAGAACUAAUAAAAGAAGAUGUUAUGAUUAUUGUUUAACACAAAUACCAAUUAUUUCUUCAUUUUUGUUUAUAUUACAUUUAUUAUGCCAAAAAGAGAAAUUGUUGCAAAAUAUUGCAUUAACCAUCAAAAUCUGUCUAUAAAUGCAGGGUUUCCAUAAUCUGUACCAGUACUGUACAGGGUUAUUAGUGCAGUCUAUGUACUGUCACAAGUGCUGUGCUUAAUUUGACUGGUGUGAAUAUCAGUGGUAAAGUGUAAUUACAGUCAGUAACUCGUUUCAUGUGUCAUCUUGUGACCCGCCUCAGCUCCUUCCACUGUGUGUGUGAACCAUAGACUGUAUAAAAAUAGGUGGGAACCAGUGAUUUAGCAGCUGAAAGCACAGAGCCAGACACGAAUGCCACGCCCUGUCCUGAAUCUACGGGUGCUAAAGACGCAUCAUUUACGCACCAGAAGCGGAGGAUCCACUGAGACCAACGCAGGAGUCUGUCUGCACAGCAAACAUAUGCAGGCAAACAAUCUGCCUGAUUCGCAAUUGUCCAAUUCCGCAUCGACUAAUCUCCAAGUUAUUGCUUUUGCAGUGUAUACACAAAAGCGACUUCAUUCUCUGUGUCUGCUAGUGUUGCCCAUUCACCCCAAAAGUAAACAGUUCUACAUUGGAA